rnacentral:rRNA from 1 species
CGUGUAGGCGGCCAGGUAGGUCCGUUGUGAAAACUCGAGGCUCAACCUCGAGACGUCGAUGGAAACCAUCUGGCUAGAGUCCGGAAGAGGAGAGUGGAAUUCCUGGUGUAGCGGUGAAAUGCGCAGAUAUCAGGAAGAACACCUAUGGCGAAGGCAGCUCUCUGGGACGGUACUGACGCUGAGACGCGAAAGCGUGGGAAGCGAACA